GCGAUUGUAGCCAAACGGUUAAGGCAAUGGAUUGUGAAUCCAUCAUCGCGGGUUCGACUCCCGUCUUUCGCC
rnacentral:tRNA from 1 species